UCCGGUUUGUCACCGGCAGUCUCCCUAGAGUGCCCUUGCGUAGCAACUAGGGACAAGGGUUGCGCUCGUUGCGGGACUUAACCCAACAUCUCACGACACGAGCUGACGACAGCCAUGCAGCACCUGUGUUCCGAUUCCCUUUCGGGCACACCCGUCUCUCGGCGGGCUUCCGGACAUGUCAAGGGUAGGUAAGGUUGUUCGCGUUGCAUCGAAUUAAUCCACAUCAUCCACCGCUUGUGCGGGUCCCCGUCAAUUCCUUUGAGUUUUAACCUUGCGGCCGUACUCCCCAGGCGGGCAACUUCACGCGUGAGCUACGGUACUGAGGAAUCGCUCCCCCAACACCCAGUUGCCAUCGUUUAGGGCGUGGACUAC
rnacentral:misc_RNA from 1 species